CACGUAGGGUCCGAGCGUUGUCCGGAUUUAUUGGGCGUAAAGGGCCCGUAGGCGGCUUGGUAAGUCGGGUGUGAAAACCCCAGGCUCAACCUGGGGACGCCACCCGAUACUGCCAUGGCUUGAGUCUGGUAGGGGAGUGCGGAACUCCUGGUGUAGCGGUGAAAUGCAUAGAUAUCAGGAAGAACACCGGUGGCGAAGGCGGCACUCUGGGCCAGUACUGACGCUGAUGGGCGAAAGCGUGGGGAGCAAACAGGAUUAGAUACCCUGGUAGUCCACGCCGUAAACGUUGGGCACUAGGUGUGGGGGGUUUCAACGCCCUCUGUGCCGUAGCUAACGCAUUAAGUGCCCCGCCUGGGGAGUACGGCCGCAAGGCUAAA
rnacentral:rRNA from 1 species